rnacentral:rRNA from 1 species
AUUGAACGCUGGCGGCAUGCCUCACACAUGCAAGUCGAACGGCAGCACGGGAGCUUGCUCCUGGUGGCGAGUGGCGAACGGGUGAGUAAUGCAUCGGAACGUACCCGGAAGUGGGGGCUAACGUAGCGAAAGUUACGCUAAUACCGCAUAUUCUGUGAGCAGGAAAGAGGGGGAUCGCAAGACCUCUCGCUUUCGGAGCGGCCGAUGUCGGAUUAGCUAGUUGGUGGGGUAAAGGCCUACCAAGGCGACGAUCCGUAGCGGGUCUAAGGGGAUGACCCGCCAACCUGGACCUGGGACACGGGCCAGAGUCCUACGGGAGGCAGCAGUGGGGAAUUUUGGACAAUGGGCGAAAGCCUGAGCCAGCCAUGCCGCGUGAUGGAAGAAGGCCUUCGGGUGGUAAAGCUCUUUCGGCUGAAAAGAAAGCGCACAGGCUAAUACCCUGUGUGGAUGACGGUAUCAGCAUAAGAAGCACCGGCUAACUACGUGCCAGCCGCCGCAGUAAUAC